rnacentral:rRNA from 1 species
ACGGGAGGCAGCAGUAGGGAAUCUUCCACCAAUGGGACGCAAGUCUGAUGGAGCAACGCCGCGUGAGUGAAGAAGGGUUUCGGCUCGUAAAGCUCUGUUGUUAAAGAAGAACGUGGGUGAGAGUAACUGUUCACCCAGUGACGGUAUUUAACCAGAAAGCCACGGCUAACUACGUGCCAGCAGCCGCGGUAAUACGUAGGUGGCAAGCGUUAUCCGGAUUUAUUGGGCGUAAAGCGAGCGCAGGCGGUCUUUUAAGUCUAAUGUGAAAGCCUUCGGCUCAACCGAAGAAGUGCAUUGGAAACUGGGAGACUUGAGUGCAGAAGAGGACAGUGGAACUCCAUGUGUAGCGGUGAAAUGCGUAGAUAUAUGGAAGAACACCAGUGGCGAAGGCGGCUGUCUGGUCUGUAACUGACGCUGAGGCUCGAAAGCAUGGGUAGCGAACAGGAUUAGAUACCCUGGUAGUCCAUGCCGUAAACGAUGAUUACUAAGUGUUGGAGGGUUUCCGCCCUUCAGUGCUGCAGCUAACGCAUUAAGUAAUCCGCCUGGGGAGUACGACCGCAAGGUUGAAACUCAAAAGAAUUGACGGGGGCCCGCACAAGCGGUGGAGCAUGUGGUUUAAUUCGAAGCUACGCGAAGAACCUUACCAGGUCUUGACAUCUUCUGCCAACCUAAGAGAUUAGGCGUUCCCUUCGGGGACAGAAUGACAGGUGGUGCAUGGUUGUCGUCAGCUCGUGUCGUGAGAUGUUGGGUUAAGUCCCGCAACGAGCGCAACCCUUAUUACUAGUUGCCAGCAUUCAGUUGGGCACUCUAGUGAGACUGCCGGUGACAAACCGGAGGAAGGUGGGGACGACGUCAAAUCAUCAUGCCCCUUAUGACCUGGGCUACACACGUGCUACAAUGGAUGGUACAACGAGUCGCGAAACCGCGAGGUUUAGCUAAUCUCUUAAAACCAUUCUCAGUUCGGACUGUAGGCUGCAACUCGCCUACACGAAGUCGGAAUCGCUAGUAAUCGCGGAUCAGCAUGCCGCGGUGAAUACGUUCCCGGGCCUUGUACACACCGCCCGUCACACCAUGAGAGUUUGUAACACCCAAAGCCGGUGGGGUAACCUU